CCUACGGGAGGCAGCAGUAAGGAAUAUUGGACAAUGCUCGCAAGAGUGAUCCAGCCAUGCCGCGUGCAGGAAGAAUGCCCUAUGGGUAGUAAACUGCUUUUGAACUAGAGAAAACCCCCAGUACGUGUACUGGGCUGAUAGUAUAGUUAGAAUAAGCAUCGGCUAACUUCGUGCCAGCAGCCGCGGUAAGACGAAGGAUGCAAGCGUUAUCCGGAUUCAUUGGGUUUAAAGGGAGCGUAGGUGGACUGAUAAGUCAGUGGUGAAAUCUCCGAGCUUAACUCGGAAAUUGCCAUUGAUACUGUUGGUCUUGAGUACAGUUGCUGUGGGCGGAAUAUGACAUGUAGUGGUGAAAUACAUAGAGAUGUCAUAGAACACCGAUUGCGAAGGCAGCUCACAAAGCUGUAACUGACACUGAGGCUCGAAAGUGCGGGGAUCAAACAGGAUUAGAUACCCUGGUAGUCCGCACCGUAAACGAUGAUUACUCGCUGCUAGGGGGCAACCUUAGUGGCUUAGCGAAAGCGAUAAGUAAUCCCACCGUCGGAGGUACGCCGGCGACGUAGAACGUUAAGUAGUAGUAGAGGACGNGAGACGNGCGACGGACGACGACGAGGGGAGGUUAGG
rnacentral:rRNA from 1 species